rnacentral:rRNA from 1 species
AUGGGAAUCUGCCCUUUGGUGGGGAAUAACCCGGCGAAAGCCGGGCUAAUGCCGCAUGAGAUCUUCGGAUGAAAGCGGGGGAUCGUAAGACCUCGCGCCGAUGGAUGAGCCCAUGUCGGAUUAGCUUGUUGGUGAGGUAACGGCUCACCAAGGCGACGAUCCGUAGCUGGUCUGAGAGGACGGCCAGCCACACUGGGACUGAGACACGGCCCAGACUCCUACGGGAGGCAGCAGUGGGGAAUAUUGGACAAUGGGCGAAAGCCUGAUCCAGCGACGCCGCGUGUGUGAAGAAGGCCUGCGGGUUGUAAAGCACUUUCGAUGGGAACGAAAUGUGCCGGGCUAAUACCCCGGCAAGCUGACGUUACUCAAUGAAGAAGCACCGGCUAACUCUGUGCCAGCAGCCGCGGUAAUACAGAGGGUGCGAGCGUUAAUCGGAAUUACUGGGCGUAAAGCGCACGUAGGUGGCGAC